CACUCUGCCAUCUAAUAUGUGUCCCUGGAGCAGAAAAGCAGUGUUGAGUCGCUGGGGGAUAUUUGUAGCAAUAGCCAACAAUACAUUGUGUGGGUCAACAU